rnacentral:rRNA from 1 species
CUUCUUGAAAGUUAAAUUGGAGGUCGAGUCUGUCCACUGAGGAGUUAUUUAAAGGACCGCGGUAUAUUGACCGUGCAAAGGUAGCAUAAUCAUUAGUUUUUUAAUUGGGAACUGGAAUGAACGGUUUGACGAAAUAAUUAGUGUCUCUAAUUAAUUAAUUGAAUUUUACUUUUGAGUUAAAAGGCUUAAAUGUUAAUAAGGGACGAUAAGACCCUAUAGAUCUUUAUAAUAAUAUAAAUAUUGUUGUUUUGGUUGUUAUGUUGUGAAUUUUAUUAAUUUUAUUAUUUUGUUGGGGUGAUGUGAGAAUAUAAAAACUUCUUAAUUUAUAACUUUGAUUAUUGAAUUUAAGAUCCUGCGUUUGUGGAAAAAAGAUUAAGAUACCUUAGGGAUAACAGCGUAAUUUUAUUGGAGAGUUCUUAUUGAUAAUAAGGGUUGCGACCUCGAUGUUGGAUUAGGAAUAUAUGUUGGUGUAGAUGUUAAUAUUAUUGGUCUGUUC